GNAAAGCGAGCGCAGGCGGUUAGAUAAGUNUGAAGUUAAAGGCUGUGGCUUAACCAUAGUACGCUUUGGAAACUGUUUAACUUGAGUGCAAGAGGGGAGAGUGGAAUUCCAUGUGUAGCGGUGAAAUGCGUAGAUAUAUGGAGGAACACCGGUGGCGAAAGCGGCUCUCUGGCUUGUAACUGACGCUGAGGCUCGAAAGCGUGGGGAGCAAACAGGAUUAGAUACCCUGUAGUNCACGCCGUAAACGAUGAGUGCUAGGUGUUAGACCCUUUCCGGGGUUUAGUGCCGCAGCUAACGCAUUAAGCACUCCGCCUGGGGAGUACGACCGCAAGGUUGAAACUCAAAGGAAUUGACGGGGGCCCGCACAAGCGGUGGAGCAUGUGGUUUAAUUCGAAGCAACGCGAAGAACCUUACCAGGUCUUGACAUCCCUCUGACCGCUCUAGAGAUAGAGUUUUCCUUCGGGACAGAGGUGACAGGUGGUGCAUGGUUGUCGUCAGCUCGUGUCGUGAGAUGUUGGGUUANNNNNNGCAACGAGCGCAACCCCUAUUGUUAGUUGCCAUCAUUCAGUUGGGCACUCUAGCGAGACUGCCGGUAAUAAACCGGAGGAAGGUGGGGAUGACGUCAAAUCAUCAUGCCCCUUAUGACCUGGGCUACACACGUGCUACAAUGGCUGGUACAACGAGUCGCAAGCCGGUGACGGCAAGCUAAUCUCUUAAAGCCAGUCUCAGUUCGGAUUGUAGGCUGCAACUCGCCUACAUGAAGUCGGAAUCGCUAGUAAUCGCGGAUCAGCACGCCGCGGUGAAUACGUUCCCGGGCCU
rnacentral:rRNA from 1 species